UUCCGUAGGUGAACCUGCGGAAGGAUCAUUGUAGAGUCCCUUUUCGAACAAUCGCGAAGUCGUAGUCGUACCCGUCGAGAACAAAAGCAUGGCUAGCACUUGCGAUGUUUGGACGGGUCCCAACUGCUACCUCCCUCUUCGCUGCAACUGAAGCAGGAAGGAGUGUAGAAAUAAGAAACCGGCACGGUUUGUGCCAAGGACAGUUGUUGUUGGAGCACGCUGCCGUCAGCUUGACGCGCUUCGUGCUAUGCUAACGAGAGUUUAAACGACUCCUGGCAAUGGAUAUCUUGGCUCUCGUGUCGAUGAAGAACGUAGCGAAAUGCGACACUUGGUGUGAAUUGCAGAAUCCCGUGAACCAUCGAGUCUUUGAAUGCAAGUUGCGCUCGAGGCCAUUAGGCCGAGAGCACGUCUGUUUGGGCGUCAUGCCUUGUCUCACCCUUACCGUCAAGUACGUCGAACGUGCUACCGAUGGCGGUGGACGUGGAGAUUGACCUUCCGUGCUUUGCCUGUGCGGUCGGUUUAAGUGUGUGUUGUCGCUAGGUCUACGCGCGGCGAGUGGUGUAUCGAGUUAACGCACGAUGUCUCUAGCCGCGUUCGGGGGACCUACGGACGAUGCAGCAUGARCUGAAACCAUUUUCGAUGUAUAUCCUCGGACCAUGACCCCAGAUCAGACGGGACCACCCG
rnacentral:rRNA from 1 species